rnacentral:tRNA from 2 species
GGCGCGGCACGGGCCUGGUGGCCCAUCCAGUCUUCAAAACUGGCAGGGCCGGGCAGCCCCCGGCUUGGAAGGUUCGAUUCCUUCGCCGCGUCG